ensembl:lncRNA
CACCAAUUAGCCAUAACAUUAAAACCAUUGACAGGUGACGUGACUAAUCUUGAUUAUCUCGUUACAGUGAUGCCUGUCAAGGGGUGGGGUAUAUUAGGCUGCACGUGAACAGUCAGUUCUCAAAAUUGAUGUGUUGGAAGCAGGAAAAAUGGACAAGUGUAAGAUGCUGCAUCUCAAGAGGCUAUCCAACAAUAACUUCUCAUUGACACGGGCCACAUUGUGAUGGCUAGACGACUAGGUCAAAGUAUCUCCAAAACGGCAGGUCUUCCAGGGUGUUCCCUGUAUGCAGUGGCUAGUACCUACCAAAAGUGGUCCAAGGAAGGACAACUGGUGACUGGUCAGGAGCACCCAAGGCUCACUGAUGCAUGUUGGCUGAGCAAAGGCUAGCUCGUCCGGUUCAAUUCCACAGAAGAGUUAAUGACUGUGACAGAAAGGUGUCUGAACACACAGUGCCUUGCAGCUUGCUGUGGAUGGCACUGCGUAGCUGCAGACCAGUCAGAGUGUCCAUGCUGACCCCCUGUCUACCACUGAAAGUGCCUACAGUGGGCAUGUGAGCAUCAGAACUGGACCAUGGAGCAAUGGAAGAAGGUGGCCUGGUCUGAUGAAUCACAUGUUUUGUUUUACAUCACGUGGACAGCCAGGUGUGUGUGCGUCACGUACCUAGAGUGAUUUUAAUGUUAUGAUUGACUGGUGUAUGCUUUCACUUGUGUAUAAUUUUCAGAUGUUGCCAUACCUGAGCUAUUUUUCGAGCAAUUUAUACCCACAUAGACCACCUGAGAAAAAACAAUGCCAUCUCACUGAGCUUUACGAGCGAUAUAUGGAGUUCUGCCAUUACUCCUGUCUUUGUUAAGAUUAAUAGCUCAGUGAAUUGACUGCCAUGAAUCAAUUGCACAGCCAUGUGCUUGUGGCACCUUGUUUGCCCAGUUGUUCAAUUGAAAAAAUAUUCCUGUUUUAUCUUGUUGCUUUUUUUGGUCUGUGAAAAAAAUUUACCUGCUGCUAUUUUGUCUGAAAAUGAGCUUGCUAUUUUUUCAGAAAAUAAUAUUUGAAAAAUAUUUAAGUCAUGCAGCUUGGUCAUGCAAGAUUAGCAUGUGUUCUUUCCAGCUAUAAAAUAAUUUAACCCAUGUGCACUGUUUUUGCCUUAGAAGUGUUGCAGUACCCCUGGUAUCAUCCUUACAUAAUGCUAAUUGGUCCAUCUCUACUUUUUAUCUGUUUACGGUUAAUGUAGCAGAACAUCUGUGAACAAGUUAAUUCCUGUUCUUACUUGCUUUAUAGUAGAUUCAAUCAUCCUCUUUUCCCUUUCUUGAAUACAAAAAAAUGCAGCAUGUCAUGUUACUAAGAAGCUACAAACUACAAAGCCUUACAAGUUACUUCCAGUUUAAGAAAACCAGUGAGUAUGGAAAAAGCACAUACUACUUAUUCUAAGUUUGUGUAAAGCUGAAAAUGUAUGUACUGUAUGCAUGGCUUCUUUGGAUUUACACUACAUGCUACUCACUAUGCUAGAGCUACGAAGGUGACCUUGUUUCAUAAUGAAGUCAAACGCAAAGUGUGUAUGUGUGCAUGUCCUCUGAGAACUUUUAUUAUGAAGUGUUGCCCUUUCAUUCCUACAGUCAUAAAUUUUGCUGAGCUGUCUUCUAUUCUUCCACAUUGCAUUAGGUGAUGUUUGUAUACUACACCUUUAAUCCACUGGCUCAUAUUUGAGUUCUGAGAAAAGUCUCAAAUAAUGAAUCACAUCAAAAUCUUUCUUUCUGUCUCUUGUUUUGACACUCUCUCUCUCACUCCCUCUUAGUGAGUCACUUUCUAUCUCUCUAAUUAGUCUCUGUCAAUCUCUUUUGGUGAGUAUAUCCAUCUAUCCAUCUGUCUAUCUAUGCCUCUCUCUCACUCACUCACUCUCUCUUAUUCUCUCCGUCAAUCUUUCUAUCUCUCUCUCUCUGUCAGUCAGUUUCUAUUUUCACAAUCUGUCUCUCUUUCUCUAUCUGUCUAUUUACCUACCUUCCUACUGUGUGUCGGUCUGUGUGAGAGAUCAAUAUAUAGAGAGCCAGAGUGAUGGAGAGACCUUUAUAGUCAGCCUCCAUAUCUCUGUCUCUCUUUAUUUAUCUCUCUCCUCAUCAGCGUCUCUCUCUGUUGGUAUGUCUAUCUGUUUCUCUGUCAUUCUUUCUCUCUCUCUUUCUCUCUAUCUUUCUCUUUUUGUUAUUUAUGUCUCUAUAAUUUGUACUUUGUGGAGUCCUGUAUAGCAUACUACUGCAUUGUGUUUCACCAUGGUCCUGAAGAAAUGACAUUUUGUUCCAAUAUGUACAGUAAUGUCAGUGAUUCCCUCUUGGCUUGCUUGUAUUUCAUGCCUUUUGUAACCGUCCCAGCGCACAUCCUCCCUCUGAACUCUUGGUCUGAAGGAAUUACUGUAAUUUUUCAACAUGUUCAUUUUUGCAAAAGACUUUGCAAUGAGCAAAGCUAGGUGUGACUCGAUCAGGUUAAAGUCUGUAG